UAUAUAUAUAUAUAUAUACGGGAAGAGAUGAUGCGUGACUGUAGCUUGUUAAGAACCCAUUGGGUAGCUUUGAACUUCUCAGCACAACUCCCAUCAAUGAGCUUGACGCGUAUGCAAAGUACGCGACUGGAAGCACCUAAUUACUCUUCCAUAUAUUACUAACAAAAUAUCAUUGUUACAUGAAAAUUGAAUCAGAGCUUACCUAUAUGCAAUCCAGGCUGACUCGAACCAACAGAGAUAUUCUUUGAAGAUAUGAGUUUGCGCUAAUUGAACUAUAGUACAGACCUGGAAUGGUGGUGAAGUGCCAGGAUUAGACGACAAGUCGUAGAUCUGUUAACAGCAUAUCUGAUUCUCAAAAUGUUAUGGGAAAGAUUAAACGACAAGCCCAAAUCAAUUAUACCUAGCUGCUGUCUAUUGCGAGUUUUUGGAGGAAUAAUUCAUUUGGGCUGAAAC
rnacentral:lncRNA from 1 species